GGACGAACGCUGGCGGCGUGCCUAAUACAUGCAAGUCGAGCGGACAGAUGGGAGCUUGCUCCCUGAUGUUAGCGGCGGACGGGUGAGUAACACGUGGGUAACCUGCCUGUAAGACUGGGAUAACUCCGGGAAACCGGGGCUAAUACCGGAUGGUUGUUUGAACCGCAUGGUUCAAACAUAAAAGGUGGCUUCGGCUACCACUUACAGAUGGACCCGCGGCGCAUUAGCUAGUUGGUGAGGUAAYGGCUCACCAAGGCAACGAUGCGUAGCCGACCUGAGAGGGUGAUCGGCCACACUGGGACUGAGACACGGCCCAGACUCCUACGGGAGGCAGCAGUAGGGAAUCUUCCGCAAUGGACGAAAGUCUGACGGAGCAACGCCGCGUGAGUGAUGAAGGUUUUCGGAUCGUAAAGCUCUGUUGUUAGGGAAGAACAAGUACCGUUCGAAUAGGGCGGUACCUUGACGGUACCUAA
rnacentral:rRNA from 1 species